GGGGAAUUAGCUCAGCUGGGAGAGCACCUGCUUUGCAAGCAGGGGGUCAUCGGUUCGAUCCCUAUAUUCUCCA
rnacentral:tRNA from 1 species